rnacentral:rRNA from 1 species
AAUAGAUACCCCGGUAGUCCACGCCGUAAACGAUGAGUGCUAAGUGUUAGAGGGUUUCCGCCCUUUAGUGCUGAAGUUAACGCAUUAAGCACUCCGCCUGGGGAGUACGGCCGCAAGGCUGAAACUCAAAGGAAUUGACGGGGGCCCGCACAAGCGGUGGAGCAUGUGGUUUAAUUCGAAGCAACGCGAAGAACCUUACCAGGUCUUGACAUCCUCUGACAACCCUAGAGAUAGGGCUUCUCCUUCGGGAGCAGAGUGACAAGUGGUGCAUGGUUGUCGUCAGCUCGUGUCGUGAGAUGUUGGGUUAAGUCCCGCAACGAGCGCAACCCUUGAUCUUAGUUGCCAUCAUUAAGUUGGGCACUCUAAGGUGACUGCCGGUGACAAACCGGAGGAAGGUGGGGAUGACGUCGAAAUCAUCAUGCCCCUUAUGACCUGGGCUACACACGUGCUACAAUGGACGGUACAAAGAGCUGCAAGACCGCGAGGUGGAGCUAAUCUCAUAAAACCGUUCUCAGUUCGGAUUGUAGGCUGCAACG